rnacentral:rRNA from 1 species
UGAGGAAUAUUGCGCAAUGGGCGAAAGCCUGACGCAGCGAUGCCGCGUGAAGGAAGAAGUCUCUUGGGAUGUAAACUUCUGUCAAGAGGAACGAUUAUGACGGUACCUCUAAAGGAAGCUCCGGCUAACUACGUGCCAGCAGCCGCGGUAAUACGUAGGGAGCGAGCGUUAUCCGGAUUUAUUGGGCAUAAAGCGCAAGUAGGUGGUUUUUUAAGUCGGGUGUUAAAGCCUACAGCUCAACUGUAGAUUGCCCUCGAAACUGAAAGACUAGAGGUUAGUAGAGGAAAGCGGAACUCACAGUGUAGCGGUGAAAUGCGUAGAUAUUGUGAGGAACACCAGUUGCGAAGGCGGCUUUCUGGACUGAUCCUGACACUGAGGUGCGAAAGCGUGGGGAGCGAACGGG